rnacentral:rRNA from 1 species
AUUGAACGCUGGCGGCAUGCUUUACACAUGCAAGUCGAACGGUAACAGGUUAAGCUGACGAGUGGCGAACGGGUGAGUAAUGCAUCGGAACGUGCCCGGUCGUGGGGGAUAACGCAGCGAAAGCUGCGCUAAUACCGCAUACGAUCUGAGGAUGAAAGCGGGGGACCGUAAGGCCUCGCGCGAUCGGAGCGGCCGAUGUCAGAUUAGGUAGUUGGUGGGGUAAAGGCGCACCAAGCCGACGAUCUGUAGCUGGUCUGAGAGGACGACAAGCCCCACUGGGACUGAGACACGGCCCAGACUCCUACGGGAGGCAGCAGUGGGGAAUUUUGGACAAUGGGCGAAAGCCUGAUCCAGCAAUGCCGCGUGCAGGAAGAAGGCCUUCGGGUUGUAAACUGCUUUUGUACGGAGCGAAAAGGCUCUCUCUAAUACAGGGGGCUCAUGACGGUACCGUAAGAAUAAGCACCGGCUAACUACGUGCCAGCCGCCGCCGUAA